CGUGCCAGCAGCCGCGGUAAUACGAAGGGGGCUAGCGUUGCUCGGAAUCACUGGGCGUAAAGGGUGCGUAGGCGGGUCUUUAAGUCAGGGGUGAAAUCCUGGAGCUCAACUCCAGAACUGCCUUUGAUACUGAAGAUCUUGAGUUCGGGAGAGGUGAGUGGAACUGCGAGUGUAGAGGUGAAAUUCGUAGAUAUUCGCAAGAACACCAGUGGCGAAGGCGGCUCACUGGCCCGAUACUGACGCUGAGGCACGAAAGCGUGGGGAGCAAACAGGAUUAGAUACCCUGGUAGUCCACGCCGUAAACGAUGA
rnacentral:rRNA from 1 species